UACGUAGGGUGCGAGCGUUAAUCGGAAUUACUGGGCGUAAAGCGUGCGCAGGCGGUUGUGUAAGACAGAUGUGAAAUCCCCGGGCUCAACCUGGGAACUGCAUUUGUGACUGCACGGCUGGAGUGCGGCAGAGGGGGAUGGAAUUCCGCGUGUAGCAGUGAAAUGCGUAGAUAUGCGGAGGAACACCGAUGGCGAAGGCAAUCCCCUGGGCCUGCACUGACGCUCAUGCACGAAAGCGUGGGGAGCAAACAGG
rnacentral:rRNA from 1 species